rnacentral:rRNA from 1 species
UUUUAGAGUGCUGCUUGGACUACAUAUGGUUGAGGGUUGUA